UCCUAUGGAUGAGCAAAGAAAGUGGCUUCUUAAGCUGGAAUCUACUCCUGGUGAAGACACUGUGAA
rnacentral:pre_miRNA from 1 species